AUUGAACGCUGGCGGCAGGCUUAACACAUGCAAGUCGAACGAGUGGCGGACGGGUGAGUCAUGCUAGGGAAUCUAGCUUAUGGAGGGGGAUAACUACGGGUAACUGUAGCUACUACCGCGUACCCUAGGAUGAGCCCAAGUGGGAUUAGGUAGUUGGUGAGUGAAAGACUCACCAAGCCGACGAUCUCUAGCUGGUCUGAGAGGAUGACCAGCCACACGUGGACUGCGAAACGUCCCAGACUCCUGCGGCAGGCAGCAGUGGGGACGAUUGCGCAAUGGGGGCAACCUGACGCAGCCAGGCCGCGUGAAUGAAGAAGGCCUUCGGGUUGUAAAGUUCUUUCGGUAGCGAGGCGUUAACUACAGAAGAAGCACCGGCUAACGCCGUGCCAGCAGCCGCGGUAAUUC
rnacentral:rRNA from 1 species